rnacentral:rRNA from 1 species
AGUGAACGCUGGCGGUAGGCCUAACACAUGCAAGUCGAACGGCAGCACAGUAAGAGCUUGCUCUUACGGGUGGCGAGUGGCGGACGGGUGAGGAAUACAUCGGAAUCUACUUUUUCUUGGGGGAUAACGUAGGGACACUUACGCUAAUACCGCAUACGACCUACGGGUGAAAGCAGGGGAUCUUCGGACCUUGCGCGAUUGAAUGAGCCGAUGUCGGAUUAGCUAGUUGGCGGGGUAAAGGCCCACCAAGGCGACGAUCCGUAGCUGGUCUGAGAGGAUGAUCAGCCACACUGGAACUGAGACACGGUCCAGACUCCUACGGGAGGCAGCAGUGGGGAAUAUUGGACAAUGGGCGAAAGCCUGAUCCAGCCAUACCGCGUGGGUGAAGAAGGCCUUCGGGUUGUAAAGCCCUUUUGUUGGGAAAGAAAAGAAGCAGGUUAAUACCCCGCUGUUCUGACGGUACCCAAAGAAUAAGCACCGGCUAACUUCGU